CCCUUAGAUGUUCUGGGCCGCACGCGCGCUACACUGAUGCAUUCAACGAGUCCAACCUUGACCGAGAGGUCCAGGUAAUCUUUGAAACUGCAUCGUGAUGGGGCUAGAUUAUUGCAAUUAUUAAUCUUCAACGAGGAAUGCCUAGUAAGCGUGAUUCAUCAAAUCGCGUUGAUUACGUCCCUGCCCUUUGUACACACCGCCCGUCGCUCCUACCGAUUGAGUGUGUUGGUGAGGAGUUUGGAUUGGCCUCGGAAGGUGGUUCGCCACCGUCCGUAGCUGAGAAGUUCUCCAAACCGCCCCACUUAGAGGAAGGAGAAGUCGUAACA
rnacentral:rRNA from 1 species